rfam:Pseudomonas sp. M47T1 contig05, whole genome shotgun sequence.
UUCCCGAGUAGAAGCGGUCAGCGCCGGCCCCGUGCCAGCGUAGGACAUUGCUCUUGCG